UCUCUCUCUCUCUCUCUCUCUCUCUCUACCUCUGCUGCUGCGUGCGCAGUCCGAUCUAUUGCCAAAAGUACCCUAGACAGGCCCAGCAUUUACAGGAAUGCCAUUGGCCGCCUGCCGCACCUAGGUGGCGCCGCUCUCCACGGCGGGGCUCCAAAUCCCCCAGCGGCGCAGGUUCAGCACCCCGCCCAUCACGUCCGCCCACCCGCGCUUCCUCUCUUCAUCGGCCUCCGCCGCCACCUCGCCGCCGCAUUGCUCCGCUUUGGCCUCCGCGCCAGUCUCUUCCGGGACAUUCUCCUUGUUCUCGGAGAGGCACGCCGCGGGGGCCGGUGGUGGCGGGGUACAAGGGCAGGAAGGGAGGAGCGGCGCCGAGGGUUCAUGCGCCACCUCGGAUGGGGGCUCCUGGGACUCGGGGCUGCCCCGCGUCGGCGGCUGUGGCGGAGGUGUAGUAGCGGCAGGAGCCCUGCUGCGCUUUCCCUUGUCGCGGCGCUUGGAGGAGGGAGGGGUGGCGGUGGCGGCGGCGGCGGACUCGGCGGCGUUGAGGUGCUCCUCGAAGGCGUCGAGGACGGCGUGUAUGCGGUCGUGCUGCGGGGAGCAGUCCCACCGCGACCAGAAGCUGCCGUAGCACUGGAAGCACAGGCACCCGACGGUGGGCGGGUGGCCGCGCCUGCGACGCGGGCCCCCGCGCGCCUGCUCCGGCGGCGGCGCCGUGAUGGUGUCCCAGCCCAGCAGGAACGAGCGCGUGACGAGGUGGGCCAGCACCCGCUGGUCCUCGGGGCACAGCCCGGCGACGAGGACGAGGAUGGCGGCCGGGAGGAGGCGGAAUGCCGCCGCGGUGGGGUCCUCGGCGGGCGAAGGGUGGAUCUUGCCGCCCUUUCCGGGCUUGGGGCACAGCGUCUUCAUGGCCGCCGCUGGGCUUCGGGGGCGGUAGGGUUUAAGCCCCACUCUGCCUCCUCGUCGCGGAGGGUGGUGGGCUGUUAGGGUUUGGGACUGACCAAAGAAAGGGAAGGGGGAGAAGCGAAGGUGGCAUGUGUGGUGGUGGGCUUCGGGAGGAGCGCUUAUAGGGGGCGAGGUGCACAGGAACAGUUGCCUUCGUUCGGCUCCUUUUGCUUUCUCCGCUCAACUUUUCU
rnacentral:misc_RNA from 1 species